rnacentral:rRNA from 1 species
CAACGCGACCCCAGGUCAGGCGGGGCUACCCGCUGAGUUUAAGCAUAUCAAUAA